rnacentral:rRNA from 1 species
CGAACGCUAGGCGGCGUGCUUAGCACAUGCAAGUCGAACGGAAUCCAUGGUGUAGCAAUUACACCGGAAGAUUUAGUGGCGAACGGGUGAGGAUCACGUGAGAAACGUGCCCCAGACUCUGGGAUAACAAUUGGAAACGAUUGCUAAUACCGGAUGACGUCGGAGAAUCGCAUGAUUCACUGACGAAAGAUAUUUCGGUUUGGGAAGCGUCUCGCGGCCUAUCAGCUUGUUGGUGAGGUUAACGGCUCACCAAGGCUUCGACGGGUAGCUGGUCUGAGAGGACGAUCAGCCGCACUGGCACUGCGACACGGGCCAGACUCCUACGGGAGGCAGCAGUAAGGAAUAUUGCGCAAUGGACGAAAGUCUGACGCAGCCGACGCCGCGUGGGGGAUGAAGGCCUUCGGGUCGUAAACCACUUUUUUUCGGGGACGAUAAUGACGGUACCCGAAGAAUAAGCCACGGCUAACUACGUGCCAGCAGCCGCGGUAAU